UACAGAGGGUGCUAGCGUUGUUCGGAAUCACUGGGCUUAAAGAGUCCGUAGGCGGCUUGUUAGGUGAGGUGUGAAAGCCCUCGGCCCAACCGAGGAAUUGCGCUUCAAACCGGCAAGCUAGAGGAGGAUAGAGGUGGGCGGAACUGAUGGUGGAGCGGUGAAAUGCGUUGAUAUCAUCAGGAACACCGAUGGCGAAGGCAAUCCCCUGGGCCUGCACUGACGCUCAUGCACGAAAGCGUGGGGAGCAAACAGG
rnacentral:rRNA from 1 species